GCCGUUUGACAGACAGCCGCAUCUUCUCAGGCAGCGCCAGCACCGUCUCCCAGACACCACGGUGAACGUGAAGGCCGGAAUAAACGGCUUUGGCCGUUUUGGGCGCCUGGUCACCAGGGCUGCUUUUAACUCUGGCAAAGUGGAUAUUGUCGCCAUCAACGACCCCUUCAUUGACCUCAACUACAUGGUCUACGUGUUCCAGUGUGACUCCACCCACGGCAAGUUCCAUGGCAUGGUCAAGGCGGAGAACGGGAAGCUUGUCAUCAAUGGCCAGCCAUAACCAUCUUCCGGGAGCGAGAUCCCACCAAAAUCAAAUGGGGUGAAGCGGGCGCUGAUUGCCUCGUGGAGUCCACUGGCGUCUUCACUACCCUGGAGAAGGCUGGGGCUCACCUAGAUGGGGGUGCCAAAAGGGUCAUCAUCUCUGCCCCCUCUGCUGACGCCCCCGUGUUUGUGAUGGGCGUGAACCACAAGUACCAAAACAACCUCACCAUCGUCAGCAAUGCCUCCUGCACCACCAACUGCUUAGCCCCCCUGGCCAAGGUCAUCCAUGACAACUCUGGCAUCGUGGAGGGACUCAUGACCACAGUCCAUGCCGUCACCGCCACCCAGAAGACCGUGGAUGGCCCCUCUAGGAAGGUGUGGCGUGAUGGCCGUGGGGCUCUCCAGAACAUCAUCCCUGCAUCCACUGGCGCAGCCAAGGCUGUGGGCAAGGUCAUCCCCGAGCUGAACGGGAAGCUCACUGGCAUGGCCUUCCGCGUGCCCACGGCCAACGUGUCCGUGGUGGACCUGACCUGCCGUCUGGAGAAGCCGGCCAAGUAUGAUGACAUCAAGGUGGUGGUGAAGCAGGUGGUGGACGGCCCCCUCAAGGGCAUCCUGGGCUACACUGAGCACCAGGUUGUCUCCUCCGACUUCAACAGCGACACCCACUCUUCCACCUUUGAUGCUGGGGCUGGCAUCGCCCUCUACGACCACUUUGUAAAGCUCGUUGCCUGGUACGACAAUGAAUUUGGCUACAGCAACAGGGUGGUGGACCUCAUGGCCCACAUGGCCACCAAGGAAUAAGAGUCCCGGACCAUCAGCCCCAGCCAGAACAGCGAGGAAGAGAGAGGCCUCAGCUGCUGGGGUGUCCCUGCCUCCUCGGUCCCCACCUCACUGAGACUCUCCCUCCUCACGACGCAGUUUCCAUGCCAGAGCCCUGAAGAAUGAGAGGGGCCUAGGGAGCCCCACCUUGUCAUGUACCAUCAAUAAAGUUCACUGUACUAGGAAAA